AGGGGAGGGAAGGGGUGGGGGGAGACCAGCUCGAAAAUUGCUGCCAGUUUUGAAAAGCCUACCCCUGGCAACCCCUCUGCUGGCCUGCUUAUGCAUUCACCAGCCAUUUAGACACUUUCGUUCCUCUUUAUUCAAAUACACGAAGGCGAGCUAGGCAGAGGUGAAUCCAGAUGUGCCUGCGCCGCUGUAAAUGAGCCCAGGAAGAGAGAAAAAGACCAUCAGCCUCCCAGCAAAGAACCUAGUGGAAAGGCGCUCAGGGAGCAAGGGAAGAAAAGUCACUGUAGGGACAAGGGCCCGAUCUUGCAGCCUUAACUUAGGCGAUUUCUCCAUGGAAGUGUUGUUGCCUGAGCAAGAAGUGCAGGAUCGGGCCCCAAAUAGCUGACACGCGAAUUGACAUCGAAAUAUGCGUCCCGAAAAUUGAGCCUUGCAACGAAAUCUUUGGUAUGAAAGUCCCCCAGACAGUCUACCCAAGCGCCUUUUUUGCGGCAUACUCCGAAACCAACCGUGACGAUUACAAUAGGGGGAGCAUAUAUUAAUCGCACGUAUUAAUUAUUAGUAGUACUACCCUUCUUAUCGCUGCAGUUGCUGCGUUUGAGCAGAAGCAGGUAUGCCGAUUUCCUAAGCCGUGUGGUGGUGCUUGGGUUUGGGGCUGCCCGGCGGUACCAGGGCUGAGGUAACAGACUCUGGGCUGGACGACCUGUUUACCAGGGAAGCCAGAAAAGGGAUCCAGGGCUGGGGAACUUCACCGUGAAGGACAAAUUGCAAACAAAUUGCAGGGGAACAAAACGUUAUUCACAAGUUGUCAGGCGCGUCGCGAGGACAAGAUCCAAACAACCCAAAAAGUCAGGAGGGCAAACAAGAGCCACGAGGCGUCACCCAGUGGAGAGCGAAAACUCCCCUGGAACAAUGGGCAAAAUACCCGAUCUGAAUCACGUGGCUGGGGAAGUGGGGGGCAGAUCAUGGCAAGGUUUUUACAGUAGUUAAAAAGAGUACGUGGCCGGUGAUUUAUUCCCUAGAUCGUUCUGUUUUUAUGCAGCUUAAAUGGGGGGUUGCGGUUAAGAGGUAACUAUGUCAUUUUCUAACCUUAUUAGCCAGCAUUAAAAAUGUACUGGUCAUGCAGGUUGUAUUUUAAGUAAGCAAGGAAGGAAGAAAGCAAGCAGGAAAGCGAGCAAGGAAGAAACGUAAAGAAAGAAGAACAUUGGGAAAAGUCUGGCCAGAAGGGCUGGAAAGUGACUGCUCGUAUUUCUAACCAAAGACUCCCUGUAGCGGCUAGUCUCUGAACAAUGAUUAGUAUUUUAGCUAGCAGCAGAGGACAUAAUCAU
rnacentral:lncRNA from 1 species